rnacentral:rRNA from 1 species
UACAGAGGUCCCAAGCGUUGUUCGGAUUCACUGGGCGUAAAGGGUGCGUAGGUGGUUGUGCAAGUCUGAUGUGAAAUCUCCGGGCUUAACCCGGAAAUGGCAUUAGAAACUGCAUGGCUAGAGGGUUGGAGGGGGGACUGGAAUACUUGGUGUAGCAGUGAAAUGCGUAGAUAUCAGGAGGAACACCGGUGGCGAAGGCGGGUCUCUGGGCCGAUACUGACGCUGAGGAGCGAAAGCGUGGGGAGCGAACAGG